rnacentral:rRNA from 1 species
UACAGAGGGUGCGAGCGUUAAUCGGGGUUAUUGGGCGUAAAGGGCGCGUAGGCGGUUGUUACAGUCAGAUGUGAAAGACACAAGCUUAACUUGUGGGCUGCAUUUGAGACGUAGUGACUCGAGUAAGAUAGAGGGGAGUGGAAUUUCCGGUGUAGCGGUGAAAUGCGUAGAUAUCGGAAGGAACACCAGUGGCGAAGGCGGCUCCCUGGGUCUUAACUGACGCUGAGGCGCGAAAGCAUGGGUAGCAAACAGG